GAUGAACGCUGGCGGCGUGCCUAAUACAUGCAAGUCGAGCGAACAGACGAGGAUCUUGCUCCUUUGACGUUAGCGGCGGGCGGGUGAGUAACACGAAGGUAACCUACCUAUAAGACUGGGAUAACUUCGGGAAACCGGAGCUAAUACCGGAUCAUAGUUCGAACGGCAGGGUUCUAUAGUGACAGAUGUCUUUGCUAUACCUUAUAGAUAUACCUGCGCCGGAUUGGCAAGUUGGUAGGGUAACGGCUUACCAAGGCAGCGAUACGUAGCCGACCUGAGAGGGUGAUCAGCCACACUGGAACUGAGACACGGUCCAGACUCCUACGGGAGGCAGCAGUUGGGAAUCUUGGGCAAUGGGCGAAAGCCUGACCGAGCAACGCCGCGUGAGUGAUGAAGGUCUUCGGAUCGUAAAACGCUGUUAGUAGGGAAGAACAAACGUAGAAGUAACUGGGCAUGUCUUGACGGUACCUAAAGAAAAAGCAACGGCUAACUACGUG
rnacentral:rRNA from 1 species